rnacentral:sRNA from 1 species
UGACAUAUUUAUGUAAUCUAUAAGUUUGU